rnacentral:tRNA from 1 species
UCCAGGGUAGCCUAGUGGACAUGGCAUCUGCCCGGUAGAGCGGAAACAUUGUGGGUUCGAUUCCCACCCCUGGAC